rnacentral:rRNA from 1 species
CACGUAGGGUGCGAGCGUUGUCCGGAAUUAUUGGGCGUAAAGAGCUCGUAGGCGGUGUGUCGCGUCGGCCGUGAAAACCUGCAGCUUAACUGUGGGCUUGCGGUCGAUACGGGCAUCACUGGAGUUCGGCAGGGGAGACUGGAAUUCCUGGUGUAGCGGUGAAAUGCGCAGAUAUCAGGAGGAACACCGGUGCGAAGGCGGGUCUCUGGGCCGAUACUGACGCUGAGGAGCGAAAGCGUGGGGAGCGAACAGG